rnacentral:rRNA from 1 species
AGUCAAGUAAUUAAGUGCAUGUGGUGGAUGCCUUGGCAGUCAGAGGCGAUGAAAGACGUGAUAGCCUGCGAAAAGCUCCGGGGAGGCGGCAAAUAUCCUUUGAUCCGGAGAUGUCUGAAUGGGGGAACCCACCUACUUUAAGGUAGGUAUUGCAACAUGAAUACAUAGUGUUGCAAGGCGAACGAGGGGAAGUGAAACAUCUCAGUACCCUUAGGAAAAGAAAUCAAUUGAGAUUCCCUCAGUAGCGGCGAGCGAACGGGGAUCAGCCCAUUAAGUUAUGUGUGUUUUAGUGGAACGCUCUGGGAAGUGCGAACGUAGAGGGUGAUAUUCCCGUACACGAAAGGGCACACAUAAUGAUGACGAGUAGGGCGAGGCACGUGAAACCUUGUCUGAAUAUGGGGGGACCAUCCUCCAAGGCUAAAUACUCCUGACUGACCGAUAGUGAACCAGUACCGUGAGGGAAAGGCGAAAAGAACCCCUGUGAGGGGAGUGAAAUAGAUCCUGAAACCGCAUGCAUACAAGCAGUGGGAGCACCUUCGUGGUGUGACUGCGUACCUUUUGUAUAAUGGGUCAGCGACUUAUAUUCAGUAGCGAGGUUAACCGUAUAGGGGAGCCGUAGAGAAAUCGAGUCUUAAUAGGGCGUUUAGUUGCUGGGUAUAGACCCGAAACCAGGCGAUCUAUCCAUGAGCAGGUUGAAGGUUGGGUAACACUAACUGGAGGACCGAACCCACUGUCGUUGAAAAGCCAGGGGAUGACUUGUGGAUAGGGGUGAAAGGCUAAUCAAGCCUGGUGAUAGCUGGUUCUCCCCGAAAGCUAUUUAGGUAGCGCCUCGGACGAAUACCAUAGGGGGUAGAGCACUGUUUCGGCUAGGGGGUCAUCCCGACUUACCAAACCGAUGCAAACUCCGAAUACCUAUGAGUACUAUCCGGGAGACAGACUGCGGGUGCUAACGUCCGUAGUCAAGAGGAAAACAAUCCAGACCGCCAGCUAAGGCCCCAAAAUCAUAGUUAAGUGGGAAACGAUGUGGGAAGGCAUAGACAGCUAGGAGGUUGGCUUAGAAGCAGCCACCCUUUAAAGAAAGCGUAAUAGCUCACUAGUCGAGUCGGCCUGCGCGGAAGAUGUAACGGGGCUAAAACUAUGUGCCGAAGCUGCGGAUGUAUACUUUGUAUACGUGGUAGGGGAGCGUUCUGUAAGCCGAUGAAGGUGUGUUGAGAAGCAUGCUGGAGGUAUCAGAAGUGCGAAUGCUGACGUGAGUAACGACAAAACGGGUGAAAAACCCGUUCGCCGAAAGACCAAGGGUUCCAGUCCAACGUUAAUCGGGGCUGGGUGAGUCGACCCCUAAGGCGAGGCCGAAAGGCGUAGUCGAUGGGAAAAUGGUUAAUAUUCCAUUACUUCUGUGUAAUGCGAUGAGAGGACGGAGAAGGCUAAAUCAGCCUGGCGUUGGUUGUCCAGGUGAAAGGAUGUAGGCAUGUAUCUUAGGCAAAUCCGGGGUACUCUAUGCUGAGAUCUGAUAGCAAGCUGUACUUGUACAGCGAAGUGGUUGAUGCCAUGCUUCCAGGAAAAGUCUCUAAGCUUCAGUUACACAGGAAUCGUACCCGAAACCGACACAGGUGGUCAGGUCGAGUAGACCAAGGCGCUUGAGAGAACUCUGCUGAAGGAACUAGGCAAAAUGGUACCGUAACUUCGGGAGAAGGUACGCUGUUGUUGGUGAUGGAACUCGCUUCCUGAGCUGACGACAGCCGCAGAAACCAGGCCGCUGCAACUGUUUAUUAAAAACAUAGCACUCUGCAAACACGAAAGUGGACGUAUAGGGUGUGAUGCCUGCCCGGUGCUGGAAGGUUAAUUGAUGGGGUUAGCGUAAGCGAAGCUCUUGAUCGAAGCCCCAGUAAACGGCGGCCGUAACUAUAACGGUCCUAAGGUAGCGAAAUUCCUUGUCGGGUAAGUUCCGACCUGCACGAAUGGCAUAAUGAUGGCGGCGCUGUCUCCAGCAGAGGCUCAGUGAAAUCGAAAUCGCUGUGAAGAUGCAGUGUACCCGCGGCUAGACGGAAAGACCCGUGAACCUUUACUGCAGCUUGACACUGAACUUUGACCUUACUUGUGUAGGAUAGGUGGGAGGCUUUGAAGCUGGAACGCUAGUUCCAGUGGAGCCGUCCUUGAAAUACCACCCUGGUAAUGUUGAGGUUCUAACUCUGUCCCGUGAUCCGGGACGAGGACCGUGUCUGGUGGGUAGUUUGACUGGGGCGGUCUCCUCCUAAAGAGUAACGGAGGAGUACGAAGGUGCGCUCAGCGUGGUCGGAAAUCACGCGUAGAGUAUAAAGGCAAAAGCGCGCUUAACUGCGAGACCCACAAGUCGAGCAGGUACGAAAGUAGGUCUUAGUGAUCCGGUGGUUCUGUAUGGAAGGGCCAUCGCUCAACGGAUAAAAGGUACUCUGGGGAUAACAGGCUGAUACCGCCCAAGAGUUCAUAUCGACGGCGGUGUUUGGCACCUCGAUGUCGGCUCAUCUCAUCCUGGGGCUGAAGCAGGUCCCAAGGGUAUGGCUGUUCGCCAUUUAAAGAGGUACGCGAGCUGGGUUUAGAACGUCGUGAGACAGUUCGGUCCCUAUCUACCGUGGGCGCUGGAAAUUUGAGAGGAUCUGCUCCUAGUACGAGAGGACCAGAGUGGACGAACCUCUGGUGUACCGGUUGUGACGCCAGUCGCAUCGCCGGGUAGCUAUGUUCGGAAGGGAUAACCGCUGAAAGCAUCUAAGCGGGAAGCCUACCUCAAGAUAAGAUUUCCCUAGGACUUUAUGUCCUCUAAAGAGCCGUUCGAGACUAGGACGUUGAUAGGUUGGAUGUGGAAGCAUAGUGAUAUGUGAAGCUGACCAAUACUAAUUGCUCGUGAGGCUUGACUAU